rnacentral:rRNA from 1 species
GAUGAACGCUGGCGGCGUGCCUAAUACAUGCAAGUCGAGCGAACAGACGAGGAGCUUGCUCCCCUGACGUUAGCGGCGGACGGGUGAGUAACACGUGGAUAACCUACCUAUAAGACUGGGAUAACUUCGGGAAACCGGAGCUAAUACCGGAUAAUAUAUUGAACCGCAUGGUUCAAUAGUGAGAGACGGUUUUGCUGUCACUUAUAGAUGGAUCCGCGCCGCAUUAGCUAGUUGGUAAGGUAACGGCUUACCAAGGCAACGAUGCGUAGCCGACCUGAGAGGGUGAUCGGCCACACUGGAACUGAGACACGGUCCAGACUCCUACGGGAGGCAGCAGUAGGGAAUCUUCCGCAAUGGGCGAAAGCCUGACGGAGCAACGCCGCGUGAGUGAUGAAGGUCUUCGGAUCGUAAAACUCUGUUAUUAGGGAAGAACAAAUGUGUAAGUAACUAUGCACGUCUUGACGGUACCUAAUCAGAAAGCCACGGCUAACUACGUG